GGUUAUUAACUAACUCUAUCCUAGAGUUCUACCUGUUAAAUAGCCCAGCCUAGAGAGUCAAUCCCUUGUGCCAAUUCCCACAAGGAAUCAAACUGCUGUCUUACUUUUUUCCUGUCAGCUCCCAGCAAUUAACUUUCUAACCUACACCUCCACUGAAACUCAACUGCCACUCUCCAACUCUGACUCUGACUGAAGCUCAACACCAACUGAAGCCCCCUUCCUUCUCUUCCCUCCUUUCUAAGACUUGGCUCCUCCCAACUUCCACUGGCCAAUCCUAGGAGUCUCCAAAACUCCUCCCCUUUUCAACCAGCCUCACUUAAGAUGGCUGCCUCCCUGGCAUUCCCUCUCAAAAUGGAGGCCUGCCCUACUGUUAUCCAGGCUCCCUUUCCGGCCUACAGAUGGCUUUAAAAGAAAAUGAGGUUGGUUCAAAGAGGAAAAUCUACAGUGGCUCCUCAUGAUGGCUAUAUAACCACCAGAACUGGAUGAGAUCCUCAAGAAGGAAAAAACCCAAAUAGUAUGAGUAAAUCUUAAAAACCUA